CAGGCCCAGAGGAAGAUGAAGGUCGCUGUGCUCAGCGUGGCCCUGCUCUUCACCAUCCUGCUGAGCCCCCCGGCAGAUGCCAAGGCACUCUUGGCAGGAACCCAAAAUGAUCUGUGGGAUGUGAGUGGGCCGGGGGGACUGGAGGGCAUCCAGUCUGGGAACUGGGGGACACUUUGGUCCCCCCAUCCCUCGCUGGCACCGGGGACAUCCCAGUGACCAGCCAGGGCUCCUGGUCUCUCUCCAGCUGCAUUUAGUGGACGUUGGGAUCCUGAAGAUGGCUCAGGCUCCCAAUACAUCCCACUGCACCCAGUGUGUCUCUGAGCCUGUCUUUGUCCCCAGCCCCCUGUGGUGGAGAAGGUGGUGGGUCUUGUUGG